UCCUGGUUUCCCAGGCAGUCCCAUCAGAGUGCCUCAAUUAAGAGUAGCAACUGAUAGCAGGGGUUGCGCUCGUUAUAGGACUUAACCCAACAUCUCACGACACGAGCUGACGACAGCCAUGCAGCACCUGUGUAUAUGUCUCAAGUUUCCCUGAGAAAGCUACGUUUCUGCAGCGGUCAUAUACAUGUCAAACCUAGGUAAGGUUCCUCGCGUAGUGUCGAAUUAAACCACAUGUUCCACCGCUUGUGCGGACCCCCGUCAAUUCCUUUAAGUUUUAAUCUUGCGACCGUACUCCCCAGGCGGAUCACUUAACGCGUUAGCUACGACACCAAUCUCGCAAAGCGAGACUGACAUCUAGUGAUCAUCGUUUACGGCGUGGACUAC
rnacentral:misc_RNA from 1 species